CACGUAGGCGGACUUUUAAGUCAGGGGUGAAAUCCCGGGGCUCAACCCCGGAACUGCCUUUGAUACUGGAAGUCUUGAGUAUGGUAGAGGUGAGUGGAAUUCCGAGUGUAGAGGUGAAAUUCGUAGAUAUUCGGAGGAACACCAGUGGCGAAGGCGGCUCACUGGACCAUUACUGACGCUGAGGUGCGAAAGCGUGGGGAGCAAACAGGAUUAGAUACCCCCGUA
rnacentral:rRNA from 1 species